rnacentral:rRNA from 1 species
AGUGUAGGCGGUUUGAAAAGUCGGGUGUGAAAGCCCAGGGCCCAACCCUGGAACUGCAUCCGAUACUGUCAGGCUAGAGUCCCGGAGAGGGUGGCGGAAUUCCCGGUGUAGGGGUGAAAUCCGUAGAUAUCGGGAGGAACACCAGUGGCGAAGGCGGCCACCUGGACGGUGACUGACGCUGAGACUCGAAAGCUAGGGUAGCAAACAGGAUUAGAUACCCUGGUAGUCC